rnacentral:rRNA from 1 species
UACGUAGGGGGCGAGCGUUGUCCGAAGUUACUGGGCGUAAAGCGCGCGUAGGCGGGGGGUUAAGUGAGAGGUGAAAGGCUGGGGCUCAACCUCAUGCAGUGCCUCUCAUACUGGCCUUCUUGAGGGCGGUAGGGAGAAGUGGAAUGGCUGGUGUAGCGGUGAAAUGCGUAGAUAUCGGGAGGAACACCAGUGGCGAAGGCGGCGAUCUGGGAAGAUACUGACGCUGAGGUGCGAAAGCGUGGGGAGCAAACAGG